rnacentral:rRNA from 1 species
UACGAAGGGGGCUAGCGUUGCUCGGAAUUACUGGGCGUAAAGGGCGCGUAGGCGGAUACUUAAGUUGGGGGUGAAAGCCCGGGGCUCAACCUCGGAAUUGCCUUCAAUACUGGGUAUCUUGAGUUCGGGAGAGGUGAGUGGAACUCCGAGUGUAGAGGUGAAAUUCGUAGAUAUUCGGAAGAACACCAGUGGCGAAGGCGGCUCACUGGACCGGUAUUGACGCUGAGGUGCGAAAGCGUGGGGAGCAAACAGG